UUGAAACGCCGAUAUCCGUUCGAUCACCGAAGUUAAGCGACGCCGAGCCUGGUCUGUAUCUAGAUGGGUGAUCACUUGAGAAUAGCAGGUGCUGUAAG